rnacentral:rRNA from 1 species
UACGUAGGGGCCGAGCGUUGUCCGGAUUCAUUGGGCGUAAAGAGCUCGUAGGCGGUCGCGUAAGUCGGGUGUGAAAUCUCCGGGCUCAACCCGGAGGGGCCACCCGAUACUGCUCGACUUGAGUCCGGUAGGGGAGUGGGGAAUUCCUGGUGUAGCGGUGAAAUGCGCAGAUAUCAGGAGGAACACCGGUGGCGAAGGCGCCACUCUGGGCCGGUACUGACGCUGAGGAGAGAAAGCGUGGGGAGCAAACAGG